AGUUUGUAUUGUAUCUUUUU
rnacentral:miRNA from 1 species